GAGGACACGGGAUGAGCUAACUGCAUUUGUACAUGAGCAGAAAGUAGACAUUAUCCUUACAAAACCUGCUCUGAUUGGUGGAUAUCUACACUGCCCUAUUACAGAUGUUAGAUUUGAAGGGAAAUGUUUCAGUUUUUCCACAUGUUGUCAUUGCAGCAUUUAGUGUGAAUGAAUAAGUUUUAAUCAAAAUACAUGCACAGUAUUAGGUCCCUCCUUAAAGGGCCAGUAAGCGAUUCUAAGCAAUACAUGUUUUGUAACAAUCAGCAAAAAUUUCCUCACGGUCCGCUAGCACUAGCUGUGUCCGCGCCGAAAAAAAAUCCUGGUUUUCGGCGCAGCCCUGGCUCUGUAAAUCGAAAACAAAACAAAUGGUGCAGGCAUAUGGAAGCAAAUAUGUCUCACCAGACUUUGAAAUUCAAGAGGCACUGAAUUUCUGCUACUGAAUUUUUUUUUGCAUUGAAGUUAUGUAUCGGAAUUCUUUGCAUCUGAAUUCAACACUUCAAAAUUUAAAAAACUGAUUUAAAAAAAAUUCAGUGUAAAAAAAUUCAGAUGCAAUAUCCGAGACACCAAGGAUAAGCUAUCGAUUCUGUGUGAACUCAAACCAACAUCCAGCCAUUCACUGUGGUGAAGUUGGAAAGAUAAUCACAGAUUCCGACAUUUCUGAUCAAUAGCUAACAAACGAAACGUUAUUAAAACACAAGCACAGCCUCCUCCUAGUCAGAGAGUGAAGUACACAAUAAGCUACAGCAAAAGUUUCAUCCAAACAAACCGAAUUCCAGGCUGAAGGAAUAACAUUGGUCUCUAUGAGCAGCCUAGGCAUAGGCUAUAUAGGCAAAUGCUAAGGGCGCUGUCAACCAUGGGGGGCGCCGCAAACAUAAAGUUUAUGUCAUGGCUCCGACUUGACGCCACCUCUGUCUAUAAGUUCUCUGUCUGUCAGUGGGCGUGGUCUUCCUGAGUUCCUCGCUGGGCUGCACACCGGUUCCUGAUCAAGCUCGUUAUCUCCUGCAUUAAAGCUUUUCUGAGGCAGGCAGUGCCAGGUAUGAGUCCUGGAACUCAGCCCAAGACUGGAACUCAGUGACGAAACCAUUGCCGAACUCAUGCUGCCUUGCUCCUGCUUCUCUACCUAACUGCUCAACGUUGCCACCCUCAAUCCUCACCCUCUAUUGCUUGAAAAACUAUUAACUAUUAACCUUCAUGGAGUCUAGUCGUCUGCAUUUUGGGUCCAAAUUCUAGCAAAGCCCUGAACACUUUCAAUUACAAAAAAGACAAACUGCCCCUCUGAACUGUCAGUCACGAGUUGACAACAUGAUGAACUCUGUAUGCUGUCACGUCUUGAUGCAAGUUACCAAUGCAUGCACGUUUUUAUGCAUCAUCCAAGACUGCAGGUCCGCCUUUGAGUUGCAGCUGCAAAAUGAGUUGAAAAAGGUUUGAAAUUAUUCUUAACAGUUCUCAACAGUUUCUUGAAUUAUUUAUUAUAAGUAAUUAAUACAUUCAUAUUUUUAUUAUUGUAUAUUGCACAUCUUAGAUGUUGUACAAUGUUUAAUUUCUUGCAUUGCAAGGGGUGAUUUUGGCACCGAAAUGAUACAUCUAUUAUACCUUUUUCUUGACAGUUCCCAUAUACAUUUGUAAUUUCUUAACACAUUAUGUAAAUGACUGUAAACAGGAAUAAAGUUGCUUUUUCAUGAG